rnacentral:rRNA from 1 species
AUUGAACGCUGGCGGCAGGCCUAACACAUGCAAGUCGAACGAGUGGCGGACGGGUGAGUAAUGUCUGGGAAACUGCCUGAUGGAGGGGGAUAACUACUGGAAACGGUAGCUAAUACCGCAUACCAUCAGAUGUGCCCAGAUGGGAUUAGCUUGUGGGUGGGGUAACGGCUCACCAAGGCGACGCGCCCUAGCUGGUUUGAGGGUAUGAACAGCCACACGUGAACUGAGACACGGUCCAGCACCCUACGGGAGGAAGCAUUUGGGAAUAUUGCACAAUGGUCGCAAGCCUGAUGCAGCCAUGCCGCGUGUAUGAAGAAGGCCUUCGGGUUGUAAAGUACUUUCAGCGGGGAGGCGUUACCCGCAGAAGAAGCACCGGCUAACUCCGUGCCGGCAGCCGCGGUAAUUC